rnacentral:rRNA from 1 species
CCUACGGGUCGCAGCAGUGGGGAAUAUUGGACAAUGGGCGAAAGCCUGAUCCAGCAAUGCCGCGUGUGUGAAGAAGGUCUUCGGAUUGUAAAGCACUUUCGACGGGGACGAUGAUGACGGUACCCGUAGAAGAAGCCCCGGCUAACUUCGUGCCAGCAGCCGCGGUAAUACGAAGGGGGCUAGCGUUGCUCGGAAUGACUGGGCGUAAAGGGCGCGUAGGCGGUUUAUGCAGUCAGAUGUGAAAUCCCCGGGCUUAACCUGGGAACUGCAUUUGAGACGCAUAGACUAGAGGUCGAGAGAGGGUUGUGGAAUUCCCAGUGUAGAGGUGAAAUUCAUAGAUAUUGGGAAGAACACCAGUGGCGAAGGCGACUCUCUGGUCUGUAACUGACGCUGAGGCGCGAAAGCGUGGGGAGCGAACAGGAUUAGAUACCCUAGUAGUC